AGUAAUGUAUCGGAACGUGCCCAGUCGUGGGGGAUAACUGCUCGAAAGAGCAGCUAAUACCGCAUACGACCUGAGGGUGAAAGCGGGGGAUCGCAAGACCUCGCGCGAUUGGGGCGGCCGAUAUCAGAUUAGGUAGUUGGUGAGGUAAAGGCUCACCAAGCCGACGAUCUGUAGCUGGUCUGAGAGGACGACCAGCCACACUGGGACUGAGACACGGCCCAG
rnacentral:rRNA from 1 species